UACGGAGGGAGCUAGCGUUGUUCGGAAUUACUGGGCGUAAAGCGCGCGUAGGCGGCUUUGUAAGUUAGAGGUGAAAGCCCGGAGCUCAACUCCGGAAUUGCCUUUGAGACUGCAUCGCUUGAAUCCAGGAGAGGUGAGUGGAAUUCCGAGUGUAGAGGUGAAAUUCGUAGAUAUUCGGAAGAACACCAGUGGCGAAGGCGGCUCACUGGACUGGUAUUGACGCUGAGGUGCGAAAGCGUGGGGAGCAAACAGG
rnacentral:rRNA from 1 species